GUAAGUAACGGCGAGUGAACACGGAAAAGCCCAGCGCAUAAGCUCCCACGUUUUACGUGUGGCGCGGUGUUGCGUAUAGGCGUGACUGGCUGGUGUUGCCAAUGUCUGAAGUUUGCUGGAAGGUAACUUCCCAGUGAGGGUGUUAGGCCCGUUCGGACUGCGGUGAUGCUGGCUGGAAGCGUCUGGGAGUAGAGUUGCUUGGAAAUGCAGCUCGAAGUGGGUGUUAUACCACAUCCAAGGCUAAAUACGACCACGAAACCGAUAGCGAACAAGUACCGAGGGGGAAAGUUGAAAAGAACUUUGAAGAGAGAGUUCAAGAGGACGUGAAACUGGUAGUGGCGAAGCAGAUAGCGUUGACGAGACCGGCGGUAUUCAGUGUUGACGUUCCGCAUGCCUGCCCUGUGCGCGCUACCGUUAGUAGUGCCCGGGACGUGGUGGGUAGUGGUUCGUUGGUGCGGUUUUACUGCUGGUGUUCGCUGAGAUGCCUGGAUGCUCCUACGGACCCUGUCGAUGUGUCCCACUUCGGUGGCCGACUGUCUUCGGGUGAUGUGGAUGCUGUGUCUGGGUGGCUGAGAAGGCCUCGCCUCUGCGCAUGCAGUGUGCUUACUAGUGUUGGGCAGUGAUCGAGUAGCCUCGCUCGGUUAUUGUCUUACGCAGGUUUGUGUGCAGCGUGCCUAGGGCUUGCUCUCG
rnacentral:rRNA from 1 species